rnacentral:lncRNA from 14 species
CCCAGCUCUCUCAGCCUGUCUCCACAGGAGACAUGCUCCAGCCCUCUGAGCAUCUUCUUGGCCUCCUCUGGACUUCCACCAAGAGAUCCACGUCUUACUGAAACUGACCAUCUGAGGUGACCAUGGUGCUGCUCCAGUAAUCACACACCAGUGGGAGAAUCGUUUAGCUGUUGAUGGUUUGAAGUUGGCAUGGAUUCAGCUUUCCAAUUUUUCACAGCUAAACAGCUGUAGAAAUGUUCAAGAAAUCCCUUCAUGCAAAUGUCUCCUGGAGUCCAAAAUGAAAACUCUGGAGCUGAGAGCUGAGCCUGGAAGUCCCUGGCCAGAGCUGCCUCCCUGAUUGGGUGUGGGGCAAGUCAGAGACUGCUUGAGGUUGCAAGAGAACUCUGGAGUUCAUCUCGUCCAUGUCUGACUG